rnacentral:rRNA from 1 species
GAUGAACGCUGGCGGCGUGCCUAAUACAUGCGAGUCGAGCGAACGGACGAGAAGCUUGCUUCUCUGAUGUUAGCGGCGGACGGGUGAGUAACACGUGGAUAACCUACCUAUAAGACUGGGAUAACUUCGGGAAACCGGAGCUAAUACCGGAUGAUAUUUUGAACCGCAUGGUUCAAAAGUGAAAGACGGUCUUGCUGUCACUUAUAGACGGAUCCGCGCUGCAUUAGCUAGUUGGUAAGGUAACGGCUUACCAAGGCAACGAUGCAUAGCCGACCUGAGAGGGUGAUCGGCCACACUGGAACUGAGACACGGUCCAGACUCCUACGGGAGGCAGCAGUAGGGAAUCUUCCGCAAUGGGCGAAAGCCUGACGGAGCAACGCCGCGUGAGUGAUGAAGGUCUUCGGAUCGUAAAACUCUGUUAUUAGGGAAGAACAUAUGUGUAAGUAACUGUGCACAUCUUGACGGUACCUAAUCAGAAAGCCACGGCUAACUACGUG